GCGUGCGCGUCUCUCUGUUUGUUGUGCUUUCCACUGCGCGGACGCUUACUUCAUCGCUAAUUUAACCGGUCACCCUGCUUUCGUCAUCCGGCGAAAAAGUCGUAAUAUCCUUCGCGCUUGAAAUUACAGUCGAUAACCUUUCCUCGUGGCUCGGUUGCCACGAGCAGAUUCGUCGUUUGAAUAUUUAUAAUCGCGUCGUAUCUGGAGCCUCGUCCGGGACGAAAAAUCGGAAAAAUCGGAAGAGGAGCCGGGCGCGCUUACCUACGCGCGAUCGCCACGGCCUUUCGGCUUUUCCAAGACGAUUGAUAAACCACAUCGAUAAACUGAUGUUCUCUAAUCACUGGAACCAUCCUUCCGUCAUGGGAAAUCGUAGAUAACCAACGAUCGUCCCAUUCGUCCGAUUUCCUCUCUUCCUCUCUUUUUUAAAUGGAUUUUUGAAAAUUCCGCUCGUGGGUGGAAAAAAACGUCCUCGAGGAUGACGAGUAAAAAACAACACUCCGAAAAUAUCGGCGGUGACUAAGUGAGGCUUUCGAAAAGAUCGCUCGGUGUCGAAGGAGCGUAUUAAAUUCGGUUUUACCAGGAUAGAAGAUAGCUGGCGAGAAAAAGAAGACGCUUGACGAAGAACGAUUGACAGCUGCGAUUCAGGGUCACGCAAUAUUUUGUACGCUCGUAAUUUUUUACACUCCGCGUUAAUCUUAAUUUUCAUUUUCUCCAAAAAAAAAUAAAAAAAAAAAAAGGAGAAGAAAAAGAAAA